CUGGGGUACUCGAGUGGCGAACGGGUGAGUAACACGUGGGUGAUCUGCCCUGCACUUCGGGAUAAGCCCGGGAAACUGGGUCUAAUACCGGAUAGGACCAUCGUUUAGUGUCGGUGGUGGAAAGUUUUUCGGUGUUGGAUGAGCUCGCGGCCUAUCAGCUUGUUGGUGGGGUAAUGGCCUACCAAGGCGUCGACGGGUAGCCGGCCUGAGAGGGUGUACGGCCACAUUGGGACUGAGAUACGGCCCAG
rnacentral:rRNA from 1 species